rnacentral:rRNA from 1 species
AGCGAACGCUGGCGGCAGGCCUAACACAUGCAAGUCGAACGAACUCUUCGGAGUUAGUGGCGGACGGGUGAGUAACACGUGGGAACGUGCCUUUAGGUUCGGAAUAACUCAGGGAAACUUGAGCUAAUACCGAAUGUGCCCUUCGGGGGAAAGAUUUAUCGCCUUUAGAGCGGCCCGCGUCUGAUUAGCUUGUUGGUGAGGUAAUGGCUCACCAAGGAGACGAUCAGUAGCUGGUCUGAGAGGAGGACCAGCGACAUUGGGACUGAGAAACGGCACAAACUCCGACGGGAGGCAGCAGUGGGGAAUCUUGCGCAAUGGGCGAAAGCCUGACGCAGCCAUGCCGCGUGUAUGAUGAAGGUCUUAGGAUUGUAAAAUCCUUUCACCGGUGAAGAUAAUGACUGUAGCCGGAGAAGAAGCCCCGGCUAACUUCGUGCCAGCAGCCGCCGUAACAC